rnacentral:lncRNA from 1 species
AUUUGGAGUUCCUAAGGGUCAGAGACUCGGGGUCCCUAUGGAUGGUGGCUGGCGGUCCCAUUACUCCAUCUGAAGGUGCCUAUGGUGUCUGGGGCUGUUCAGAGCCUGUAGGGUCCCAGGGCAUAUGGGGGCUUAGAUGUGGGGCCUGCAACUGUGAAUGCUGUAGGUUUAGGGUUCCCCAUGGACUGGAUUUUGGGGGUGCCCAUAAAGUUGGGGCAAGCUGUAUAAGUCUGGGGGUCCUUUGCUGUCACCAUGGGCAGGGUUUGGGGUUCAGCUGAAGUGUUUGGAGUUGCCCAAGGGGCAGACUGGGACUUGGGAUUCUUUGUCCCUGCAUCUUAACUGCAACUGCAUGGCCUUGUGAGGGGGAACCUGCAUGAGAAGGGGAGAGGAACAGGGUGGGGCGUGUGGGGGGUGAGGCACACUAAUGGGGCACAGGGGGAUUGAGGGUCAUCAAAGGCAGUUAAACCCCUUCCCCACCAGGGCUCUCUUCUCUCCAUAACCAGAGGUUGUGGACAACAAGGAGGACAAACAGGCCAAGAUCAAGGCUGAAGAGGGCAGUGGCACAACCCCUUAUCACCAGCACCAUUAAGUUCCCCCAGGAUCAUCCCUCAGCAUCUGCAGGGUCCAGGGAUUCAGGUGUCCCUGUCCCAGCCAUCAACUCCCUGGGUGACACUGCCACCCAUGGGUGACACCAGGGACACACAGCACCCAGGUGGGGUCUGCUCAGUCGGAACCAACCUUUGUACAAGUCUCUGUGUGUGGCAAAUCUGUGCUUUUACCUGAGCCAUGGAGAUGGAUCCACCUUUCGGAGGACAGCUCUCUGGUGGCCCAGGUGGGACACUUAAGAGCAGAGAGCACGUAGUGCUGGCACUGGGGAAAAGUGCCUGGAGCCAAAUGCUGAAGAAGAUGUACAACUGCUGGAGGCUGCUGGCAUGGAUGGGAGACCUGAUCACGAUGUGCGGGUGUCACUGGGGGAAAUCAGAGGAGGUCAGUCCGUGGGCUCCGAAGGAUUCAGCCCCAGGUCAGGACACACUGAGCACAACAACCAGCUGCCACUGGCACUGAGACCAGCUGUGG